GCCUUCGUAGCUCAGUGGUUAGAGCACUGGUCUUGUAAACCAGGGGUCGGGAGUUCAAUUCUCCCCGAGGGCA
rnacentral:tRNA from 1 species